GUGCUCACUUCAGCAGCACAUAUAUUAAAACUAGAGUGAUGUGGAGAUUAGCAUGGUCCUUAUGUAGAAAUAACAUGUAUAUUGGUGAAGCAUUCCAUAUUUUA
rnacentral:snRNA from 1 species